UACGGAGGGAGCUAGCGUUGUUCGGAAUUACUGGGCGUAAAGCGCACGUAGGCGGCUUUGUAAGUUAGAGGUGAAAGCCCGGGGCUCAACUCCGGAACUGCCUUUAAGACUGCAUCGCUUGAAUCCAGGAGAGGUGAGUGGAAUUCCGAGUGUAGAGGUGAAAUUCGUAGAUAUUCGCAAGAACACCAGUGGCGAAGGCGGCUCACUGGUCCGGUACUGACGCUGAGGUGCGAAAAGCGUGGGGAGCAAACAGG
rnacentral:rRNA from 1 species